rnacentral:rRNA from 1 species
GUGUCCGUAGCUGGUAAGGUAAGUUCCUGGUAAAAUUGGGCAGCUUAACUGUCCUUAUGCUAGGAAUACUGCUUUACUAGAGGGCGGGAGAGGUCUGAGGUACUACAGGGGUAGGAGUGAAAUCUUAUAAUCCUUGUAGGACCACCAGUGGCGAAGGCGUCAGACUGGAACGCGCCUGACGGUGAGGGACGAAAGCCAGGGGAGCGAACCGGAUUAGAUACCCGGGUAGUCCUGGCCGUAAACGAUGCACACUAGAUGAUGGUGCGCCCAUGAGCCGUAUCAGUGUCGUAGGAGAACCGUUAAGUGUGCCGCCUGGGAAGUACGGUCGCAAGGCUUAAACUUAAAGGAAUUGGCGGGGGAGCACCACAAGGGGUGAAGCUGCGGUUCAAUUGGACUCAACGCCGGGAAACUUACCAGGGGAGACAGCAGAAUGACAGUCAGGUUGACGACCUUACUCGACGAGCUGAGAGGAGGUGCAUGGCCGUCGCCAGUUCGUGCUGUGAGGUAUCCUGUUAAGUCAGGCAACGAACGAGAUCCGCGCCUUUAUUUGCCAUCGAGAAGUCACGAUUCGUUGGGAACAC